UACGGAGGAUCCGAGCGUUAUCCGGAUUUAUUGGGUUUAAAGGGAGCGUGGGCGGGUUGUUAAGUCAGUUGUGAAAGUUUGCGGCUCAACCGUAAAAUUGCAGUUGAUACUGGCAUCCUUGAGUACAGUAGAGGUAGGCGGAAUUCGUGGUGUAGCGGUGAAAUGCUUAGAUAUCACGAAGAACUCCGGUUGCGAAGGCAGCCUGCUGGACUGUAACUGACGCUGAUGCUCGAAAGUGUGGGUAUCAAACAGG
rnacentral:rRNA from 1 species